rnacentral:SRP_RNA from 1 species
GCCAGGCUCAGUGGUGCUGCCUGUAAUCCAAGCAUCUGGAGGCUGUAGCAUGCUACGUUAAACAGGUGUCCACACCAAGGUCGGUAUCGGUAUGACCACCAGGUUAGUCUGAGGGGUGAACUGGCCCAGGUUGGAAACAAAGCAGGUCAAAGCCCCUGAGCUGUCCAGUGGUUUAGUGCCGGUGAGUAGACGCUGCAGU